GUACAAUAAGCAAAAUAAGGGCGUAUGGGGGAUGCCUAGGCUCUCAGAGGCGAUGAAAGGCGUGAUAAGCUGCGAAAAGCUGCGGGGACGGGCACACACCGAUUGAUCCGCAGAUACCUGAAUGGGGCAACCCACUAUGUUGAAGACAUAGUACACCGAUAGGUGGGCAAACCCGCUGAACUGAAACAUCUAAGUAGGCGGAGGAGAAGAAAACAAAAGUGAUUCCGUAAGUAGUGGCGAGCGAACGCGGAUUAGCCCAAACCAAUGUUGUUACGGCAAUGUUGGGGUUGUAGGACCACGACAUUUUAUGCACAAGGAACCGGAAGUUACUGGAAAGUGACACCAUAGAGGGUGAUAGUCCCGUAUGGGUAACAAGUGUAAUAGAUAGUGGUAUCCUGAGUAGGGCGGGGCACGUGAAACCCUGUCUGAAUUUGGCGGGACCAUCCGCUAAGGCUAAAUACUCCUGAGAGACCGAUAGUGAACCAGUACCGUGAGGGAAAGGUGAAAAGAACCGUGAAUAACGGAGUGAAAUAGAUCCUGAAACCAUACGCUUACAAGCGGUCGGAGCCCUUUCGUGGGGUGACGGCGUGCCUUUUGCAUAAUGAGCCUACGAGUUAACGUUGCUGGCAAGGUUAAGUGGUUAAGCCACGGAUCCGUAGCGAAAGCGAGUCUGAAUAGGGCGCUUUAGUCAGUAGUGUUAGACGCGAAACCGUGUGAUCUACCCAUGGGCAGGUUGAAGCUGUGGUAACACACAGUGGAGGACCGAACCGGUUGACGUUGAAAAGUCUUCGGAUGACCUGUGGGUAGGGGUGAAAGGCCAAUCAAACUCGGAAAUAGCUCGUACUCCCCGAAAUGCAUUUAGGUGCAGCGCUGAAUUAAGUUAUAUAGAGGUAGAGCUACUGAUUGGAUGCGGGGGCUUCACCGCCUACCAAUUCCUGACAAACUCCGAAUGCUAUAUAAUGUUUCUCAGCAGUGAGGGCUUGGGUGCUAAGGUCCAAGUCCGAGAGGGAAAGAACCCAGACCAUCAGCUAAGGUCCCCAAAUAUACGCUAAGUUGAAAGAACGAGGUUUGUCUGCCCAGACAGCUAGGAUGUUGGCUUGGAAGCAGCCAUUCAUUUAAAGAGUGCGUAACAGCUCACUAGUCGAGCGGACGAGCAUGGAUAAUAAUCGGGCAUAAGCGUAUUACCGAAGCUAUGGAUUUACAGUUUACUGUAAGUGGUAGGGGAGCAUUCCAGCAGGGUUGAAGGUGUAUCGUAAGGUAUGCUGGACUGGCUGGAAAAGAAAAUGUAGGCAUAAGUAACGAUAAUGCGGGCGAGAAACCCGCACACCGAAAAACUAAGGUUUCCACAGCUAUGCUAAUCAGCUGUGGGUUAGUCUGGUCCUAAGGCGAACCCGAAAGGGACAGUCGAUGGCCAACGGGUUAAUAUUCCCGUACUACUAAUUACUGUGAUGGGGUGACGGAGUGAUGAAAGCGCCGCGAACUGACGGAAUAGUUCGUUGAAGUACCUAGCUAUAAGAUCUGUAGGCAAAUCCGCAGAUUUUGGUGAAAUACGAUAGUACUCGGAGUCUUCGGACAAAGAGAUAGUGCGCCUAAGGGCUUCCAAGAAAAACCUCUAAACUUCAGGUAAUUAGUACCAGUACCGUAAACCGACACAGGUAGUUGAGGAGAGAAUCCUAAGGUGCUCGAGAGAUUCAUGGCUAAGGAAUUAGGCAAAAUAGACCUGUAACUUCGGGAGAAAGGUCGCCCCCAGCAAUGGGGGCCGCAGUGAAGAGGUCCAGGCGACUGUUUAUCAAAAACACAGGGCUCUGCAAAAUCGUAAGAUGAAGUAUAGGGCCUGACACCUGCCCGGUGCUGGAAGGUUAAGAGGAGAUGUUAUCUUCGGAGAAGCAUUGAAUUGAAGCCCCAGUAAACGGCGGCCGUAACUAUAACGGUCCUAAGGUAGCGAAAUUCCUUGUCGGGUAAGUUCCGACCUGCACGAAUGGUGUAACGAUCUGGACACUGUCUCAGCCAUGAGCUCGGUGAAAUUGUAGUAACGGUGAAGAUGCCGUUUACCCGCAGUGGGACGAAAAGACCCUGUGCACCUUUACUAUAGCUUAGUAUUGACCUUGGAUAAAUGAUGUGUAGGAUAGGUUGGAGACUGUGAAGUGGCG
rnacentral:rRNA from 1 species